rnacentral:rRNA from 1 species
GGAGCCCNUGAUAUAGCAUUUCCACGUAUAAAUAAUAUAAGCUUCUGAUUACUUCCACCUUCAUUAUCUUUAUUAAUUAUAAGAAGAAUAAUCGAAAGAGGAGCAGGAACAGGUUGAACAGUUUACCCCCCUCUUUCUGCAAAUAUCGCUCACAGAGGCCCUUCUGUAGAUUUAGCAAUUUUCAGCCUCCAUUUAGCAGGAGUUUCCUCUNUUCUUGGAGCUGUAAAUUUUAUUUCCACUAUUAUCAAUAUACGACCUAACAGAAUAAUGUUUGAUCAAAUACCUUUAUUUGUGUGAGCUGUUUUAAUCACAGCUAUCCUUCUUCUUCUAUCUCUCCCAGUACUGGCAGGUGCUAUUACCAUACUUCUCACUGAUCGAAACUUAAAUUCCACAUUCUUUGACCCUGCGGGAGGAGGAGACCCU